rnacentral:rRNA from 1 species
AUGUGCAUGUAUGAGAGAGAGAGAGAGAGAGAGAGAGAGAGAUGCGGGAUUGUAGUUGCACGUACUUAUUCCUUCCAAUCAGCGCCUUAUAUAUACAAAAGAAAAAGAAGAGAGAUCAGUACGACCCAUCGUUUCCAAUCAAAGUUGUUUCAUUUGUUUAUUCCUUCCAACUAUGAAUAUAAAGAAAAUAAAACGAAGAGGAAUCAGAGAUUGUUGUUUAAUGCUUGCGGGGAGUGCUUGCAUUAUAGAGGAUUGAGGAUUAGAAAGACUGACCGGACUUGGUGGGCGGAAGAGGCGGCUGGAGACAUAACAGAUCUGCCUUCUAAAAAAUGA